UGAGAAACUUCCUCAAUUUUUGGAGGCUGACGGACACUCAGAAAGUGAUUUAAAUGUAAACAACUUGUUCAAUGCUUUAUUUUACAAUUGAGGAAGUGUGUUAGUGGUAACUAAUGGGAGCUGGGCGCAGUGGCUCACGCCUGUAAUCCAAGUAUUUUGGGAGGCUGAGGUGGGAGGAUCACUUGAGCUGGAGAGAUUGAGGCUGCAGUGAGCCGUGAUUGUGCCACUGAGCUCCAGCCUGGGCGACAAAGUGAGACUCUGUCUACAAAAACAAACAAAACAAAACCCUAGUGCGAAUGUCUCUCCAGUCCGGCUAUCAUCAGUCAUGACAGUCAUACUUCUGUCAUUGUCUCCUUGAUCAGGAAAGGGAAAGGAACUAUGCCAUGGGGACAGAGACAGCUCUUCUCUGGGAGCAGGGCUUUACUGAGCUGUGACGCUCUCCCCAGCCCAGGGGCAGGAGUUGAACGUAUCACUUGAAUCACUUCUAGUUUCUACAUGCAAAAGCAGUCCCUGAAAGCAAUUUCCAGGCGCUGGCUCACAGGAUGCGUGUAAAAGCCUGGUCACGCCUCCCGCGUGGAGGAUGGAGACGAUUACUAAUCACCAGCCACCUCCGAGUGACAGCAGAGGCAGGGGAGACUCGGGGCCCAGCUGUCAGGCGCAAGGACAGAGGUCGGCGCGGGGUCUCCCCGGAGCAGGAGGGAGCAGCGGGUGACAGGUGCAGCCGCGCCAUCCCCAGGCAUCCGGGAACCUGGCCUGGAGGCUGCUGUGGGAUCCGCAGCCCUGCGCGCUGGGGAGGCGCUGCAAUGACCCGGCGGCGGCGCCUUCUCCCAGGUCCCCAAAUAGAAACAGCCCCAGUGCCCUCUCUCCGACCCCACCAGGGCCGCUACCGCGCUCCUCCUUACUCAGACCAGGCUCUACCGACUCCGCAACAGCUGCUCACCCCGCUUGAGAUGCAAAAGGUUCUGAUCCACUAAAGAAAAACGAAAAGACCUUUACACCCCCUUUAGCAAGAAAUCUUCUGCUCCUGCAGGAGGGUCCACCUGAAAACAGAGGGCCCAUAACACUUGUUGGGAAGCACCAAUAGACACCCCAGAGUCUCCUCAUCCCACUUCCUAGCAGCUCCCUGGCACCACUCUUUGAUGAUAGCUUGUUGAAACGGAUGCCUGUUGAAAUGGCAAAGGUGAACAGUGUGACGUGUCAAAAGAAACAUGACUAACAAUAAAGAUAAGCUCACAAAUUAUAUAUUUUUUCCAAAGUGAAUUGGAGCUAGCUAAAAUGUACCCCUCUAUUUUUGUCAUUCUCCUUUGUGUUCAAGAGAGAGAACAGGGAGGAGCUGCUGCUUGUGUGUUGGGAAUUUCAUAGAAUCUUGGGCAUCCCCACGAGAGUGAUCGCUCAUGUAAGUUGCAUCCAUUUUUAUGAAUCAACAAAAAAAAAAAAAAAAGAAAAAGAUUGAAGGCUGCUGGCUUAGCUACCUAAGGACAGCAGUGCGGAGGGACUCAGAGGAAAUGGAAGACGUUGCUCCUGUGUUUGCAAAGCUUGCAAUUUUAUGAUCUUAUUAAAAUAAAGCUUAUAGUUUACAUUUUAUCCAGAUAUAUAGACAGAGGCCAAUGUAUUGGGAGCAUUUCCUCUACCUGUGGGGUGCUGAGUUUAUAGAUUUACAUUAGUUUUUUCCAACGAUCACCCCCUCUUGUAACCUUUCUUCCUCCUGCGUCAUCUCACACACAAGAGCAGUGGCUAUCAUCAAAGUUAUUGAUUUAUGCCUCAAGCAGGCAGGAAGUCGAACAAAGCAGCCUGAGAAAGCAGCAGAGGCAGCUGCUCACCCAGGAGGAUUUGUGGGGAGGAAUCUACUGGCAUAAAACUUAUUUGCCCCCGCUGGCCUCAGAUGAGAACAGUAUCAACGACAAUAAUAAUAGCAGCUAAGGCAUAAUAAAUGCUUACCAUGUGCCAGCCCCAUUCUCUCGUUUCAUUUUCCCACAGCCUUGCUAGGCAGCUUCUGUUAACUCCUCAUUUUCACAGAUUAGGAAACUGAGGCACAGAGGGGUCAGGGAGACUGUUCAUGGCCACCUACUAGUAGGUGAUGCAGCUUGCACUUCAACAGAGGUUUGUCUGACUCUAAAGCUCUAAAGCUCUUGCACUACUGGCUUCACAUCCAGCCUGGCUUCAAACUUUCUUUUGAAUCACUUGUUUUUGGAGCGGGGGCGGUCAGAACAUACAGGAAAACAAAUUAUCUUCAGAAGGUUGGUAGGAAAAAUC
ensembl:lncRNA